rnacentral:rRNA from 1 species
AUGGAGGCGAAGAAAUGCGUGGAAGGGAUUGAUUUGAAUGAACCACCACACAAAAACCGAGGUGUCAGGUUGAGCCAUGUACUGCUGCAAAAGGAUUGUAAGAAUAUAUGCCGCACAAAAGCUUGUGAUGUUUCAAUAGAAUUGCCCUCUCUUUGGUCAAUUAGUAAUUUCGUGUCAAGUAAGGUAUACGAGCUGAAUAAUUUCCUGAAUUUUUCACUGUAUCCUGAUCCGGAAGAUGCUCGCCAGAGUAGUGAAUGGGGAAAGUUUAUGCAUUUCCUUUGGCACAAUAAGAGGGCCGGUAUUGUUAGACAUGGGUCCUUCACCUUCCAUAUUCUUCCUGCUCAAUCUGAAGAACGCCCUAACUACUCACAUGCUGUGAUCUUGUACGAGACUGAACGAAAAGAUCCUGUAAUCUGCAAAAGGAGGACCGGAAUAUCCGAGAAAUCCAACAAAAGCGAGGAGAUCUGUGAUAGUGUACCCAAUCCAAGAGGGCUGAAUGCUUCACAUAUACACCAUGAUCCAGAAUCCUCACCAUGUGAAUCUGUUGAAGAUGGUAAUAGAAUUUCAGAUUCAUUAGUGAAAAGGGGAAAAUCUACUCUUAGAAGAAAUUUCGUCAGCACAGACCCUACUUAUCUCCGAACACUCAGUCAGACACAUGCUGGUUGGAUCUUUGGAGCAAUAGCAGAGCUCAUUGACAACUCCAGAGAUGCUGGUGCAUCCAGGUUGGAUAUUUUCAUCCAAACUAUGUUUUCGAAGAAAGCAGCAGGCAAAGUUCCUGUUUUAUCUGUGAUUGAUGAUGGGCGUGGCAUGGCUUACCCUGAAAUGAUGAGAAUGAUCUCAUUUGGUCAUAAACGACCAAAUGAACAUUGCAAUGAUCAGAUUGGGAGGUUUGGAAUUGGAUUUAAGACUGGUGCAAUGAAACUUGGGAAAGAUGCAAUUGUGCUUACCCAAACUUCAACUUCCAGAUCAGUGUCCUUUCUAUCCCAGUCUUUUAAUGAAAAUAAAGAUAAUCUUGAGAUCCCUGUGGUGACCUAUCGCAAGGAAGGACAAUACAUGGAAGUUGAUUUGAGUGUCCAGUCUGAAGCUACUGCAGAAUAUAACCUGAACGCUAUCAAGGAAUUCUCUCCCUUUAAUGAGUAUUUCAUCGGAGAAAAGCUAGGUUUAUUUGGUGAAGAGGGUACUGGAACACAGAUAUAUAUAUGGAAUUUAGAUAGGUGGGGUAAAGACUACACCUUGGACUGGAAUUCAGGGAGGACUGAUGAAAACCCCACUGACAAAGGUCAUGGAGACAUAUUAAUCCGGUCAAAAAGAGUAAGAUCACGUCCAGGACAAACAAGUAAACAGGUCCCAUUGGACUAUUCACUUCACUCUUAUCUGGAAGUUAUCUUCCGGAAUCCUCGAAUGAAAAUCACAGUGCAAGGGUCUAAGGUCAAAGCGCGCCCUUUGGACAAGAGCCUUAACACAACUUCAGUGAUUUCUGGUGACAUUGCGGGAAGGACCAUUGAGUUGACUAUUGGAAUGAGCAAAGUAGAAUGGGAAAGAACGAACUGUGGGGUUUUCUUGUAUUGGCGUGGUCGACUAAUAGAGUCUUACAAACGAGUUGGAGGUCAAAUGCAUAAUGCUGACACGGGACGUGGAGUAAUAGGAGUUGCAGAUAUUACAGAACUCGUUGAUGAUGAAGAUGGCAAUUCAUGGGUUCUUAACAGCAAACAAGGGUUUCAAGAUUGUGAGAUGUAUGCUGAGCUGGAGGAAUGGCUGGGUAGCAGUAUGGAUGAAUACUGGGAGACAAAUUUUGACAAUGUAGAAUUGGGAAAAGCAGCCGGCCGCUGCAAGCCUGAUCAUGAAUGGGUUCAGUGUUAUGGCUGUCGUAAAUGGAGAGUGUUGACUGCCGGCUUUGAUACGGAGUCUCUACCAGAUCAAUGGUUUUGCUUGAUGCCACCCUUCAAUGGGAAAUGUACGAUACCAGAGCAACAAAUGGGCCAUGGUACCAUAACCAUAGGCGAGAAAAGGUCCGGUAAUGUUGGCCGCAAUAGGAUUAUCCAGCGGGAAUCUACAGCUAAGGUUGAUACAAACAAAAUAGGGAACAAUGAGUUCAGUCAGGAUGAAGAUGUGAAGAAUGUAAAGCUAAUCCCAACAAUUGUCAACAAGCGAAAGAAUACUUCCAACGGCACGAACAGCAUCGAAGAUGAUUUGGACAGCAAUUCCUCGCAAACCGAGUCUGUUGCCCCUGUCCAUGUUUUGAAGAGGAUACGGAGGGGUGCCGCAAGAGGUUGCAAGACGUGA